rnacentral:tRNA from 1 species
GCCUUAGUGGUCUAAUGGUUAAGCACACUUGGUCCGCAUUCGAGAGGUCCGUGGUUCGAGUCCCGGCAAAGGCG